rnacentral:rRNA from 1 species
CUUUAUUGGAGAGUUUGAUCCUGGCUCAGGAUGAACGCUGGCGGCGUGCCUAAUACAUGCAAGUCGAGCGAAUGGAUUAAGAGCUUGCUCUUAUAAAGUUAGCGGCGGACGGGUGAGUAACACGUGGGUAACCUGCCCAUAAGACUGGGAUAACUCCGGGAAACCGGGGCUAAUACCGGAUAA